AAAUUAACUGGUCAAGUGUGUCAGUGACUGCACAUUGGUUUCUGUUCUCUGGCUAUUUGCAAAACCUCUCCCACCCUUGUGUUUCACUCCACCACCAACCCCAGGUAAAAAAGUCUCCCUCUCUUCCACUCACACCCAUAGCGGGAGAGACCUCAUGCAGAUUUGCAUUGUUUUGGAGUAAGAAUUCAAUGCAGCAGCUUAAUUUUUCUGUAUUGCAGUGUUUAUAGGCUUCUUGUGUGUUAAACUUGAUUUCAUAAAUUAAAAACAAUGGUCAGAG
rnacentral:lncRNA from 1 species